rnacentral:rRNA from 1 species
UACGUAGGGUGCGAGCGUUGUCCGGAAUUAUUGGGCGUAAAGAGCUUGUAGGUGGUUUGUCGCGUCUGCUGUGAAAAUCCGAGGCUCAACCUCGGACUUGCAGUGGGUACGGGCAGACUAGAGUGUGGUAGGGGAGACUGGAAUUCCUGGUGUAGCGGUGAAAUGCGCAGAUAUCAGGAGGAACACCGAUGGCGAAGGCAGGUCUCUGGGCCACUACUGACGCUGAGAAGCGAAAGCAUGGGGAGCGAACAGG